rnacentral:rRNA from 1 species
GACGAACGCUGGCGGCGUGCUUAACACAUGCAAGUCGAACGGAAAGGCCCUGCUUUUGUGGGGUGCUCGAGUGGCGAACGGGUGAGUAACACGUGAGUAACCUGCCCUUGACUUUGGGAUAACUUCAGGAAACUGGGGCUAAUACCGGAUAGGAGCUCCUGCUGCAUGGUGGGGGUUGGAAAGUUUCGGCGGUUGGGGAUGGACUCGCGGCUUAUCAGCUUGUUGGUGGGGUAGUGGCUUACCAAGGCUUUGACGGGUAGCCGGCCUGAGAGGGUGACCGGCCACAUUGGGACUGAGAUACGGCCCAGACUACGACGGGAGGCAGCAGUGGGGAAUAUUGCACAAUGGGCGGAAGCCUGAUGCAGCAACGCCGCGUGCGGGAUGACGGCCUUCGGGUUGUAAACCGCUUUCGACUGUGACGAAGCGUGAGUGACGGUAAUGGGUAAAGAAGCACCGGCUAACUACGUG